UAAGGUUUAGAAUUUGAUUAAGAUUUUAUUAGGAUUCAGAGUUUCAUUAGGAUUUAGUCAAGAAUUAAAAUUUAGGAUUUUAUUAUGAUUUUGUUAGAAUUUAUUUAGAAUUUGAUUAGGAUUUGAUUAAGAUUUAAGAUUUGACUAAAAUUUGAUCUAAGGUUAAAGUUUCGGAUUUGAUUAGGAUUUGGUUUAAGUUUUGAUUAAGAUUGGUUUAAAAUUUCAUUAGGAUUGAUUGAGGACUAUAUUAAGAUUUAAUUAGGAUUCAACUAGGAUUCCUAUUUUUAAUAUUUCUUUAAGAUUUUUUAUUAUGUAUAUUUCAUUAAGAUUAAUUUGUGAUUUUUUUAUUUA
rnacentral:lncRNA from 1 species